GCGAUCCCAUGGACUGUAGCCCGCCAGGCUCCUCCGUCCAUGGGAUUUUCCAGGCAAGAGUACUGGAGUGGGUGCCAUCGCCUUCUCCGGGUGCUUUAGCUAAUCCAAUCCCAAUUCUACUUAAACCUAGUUCUUGUUGCAUUUUAAAAUGUUUUUGUUACGAUAGUGAACACAAUUCAGAAUAAUAACAACCGUUUGUAAAGGAAAUCAGGAGAUUUUUAUAUGAAGGUAAAUAAGGCUGGAAAUGCUCAGAACCACCUGGACUCAAGCAGACGAAAAUACAGAAAAACAAAUGGAGCAAUAGACACCUGGAAUUUCACCACCCAGAGGUAGAAACACAAGCAUUUUGGUUUGAAUUAUACCAACAAUGUUGAUCAUGAAGAUACUUUCACAGUGAUACUCCCUCCAGAACGUGCAGCAUGACGCCCUUUCCACAGAGUGCGGGCUGGAGCAAGGGACUCAGCUGCAAAGACCAGGAGGAAGUGUGGGGGCAGCGCCCAUGGGCCAGCCCGUGGAAACGGCCCGAGAGGCAGGCGGCCUCUGCCCGCUUUCAUCUCCCGCUCCUGGGAGCCCUGCUGUCCGGCGGUGGGGACACCCCCGAGGUUUCUGGGGGGCGCGCUCGGUGACAGGCCUGUGGGGGCACCACCUGGGGAGCGGAUCCUCGGGUCCCGGGUCCCCUCAUGGGGGGCUGAGCCACAGAGACUCAGCCAAACUGCGCCUGAGUCUCAACCCCCUGAGACUGUGAGACCGCUUUGGGUCGGUUUGUUCUGGAGAGGGUGAGCCCAGGGGAGGUGGCCCCGGGGUCCGCGGCUUGCUCUCCCUCAGGGAUGCUCUGCUAACUACCCCUCCUCCCCUCAGCGCGCCUCUCUUUCAGCUUCACCACCUACCUUCCGGUCCUGACCUCCCUUCCCCUCCCCCGUCACUGCCCCCCACCCUUUUUUCUUCCCAACUGCACAGCAGUGGGAAGGCUUCUGGAUGUUCGGGAGGGAGAAUGCAGCUUUGGUGAUUAUGCACCACCCUGCUGAAGGUGUUCACUUCCAUGGCACAGGUACCUGUGGGGUGCAGAGGUGCCCUCCAUCCUUCCAAGAUGGGCAGCACUUGGUGCCCACUGUGGGCGGGCAGCACAGGAUUUCAAAGAAACCCUUGGGAAAUAGGUGUUUUAUUUAAAGUCCAGGGGAUGUUUAAAAGUAACCAUAAUACAAAAGUCAUGACUGGGACUUCCUGGUGGUCCUGUGGUAAAGCUUCUGCACUCUCAUUGCAUGGGGCACGGGUUCCAUCCCUGGGCAGAGAACUAAGAUUCUGUGUGCCACGGGCCAAAAGACAAAUCAGUAAAUAAGAUAAAAUAUAGUGGUCGCUAGAGAUUAUGUUAAAAAAAAAUUAGGGGUCUUAGUUUAGAUACCUGGUUUUUAUUGAUGAACAGAAGGAAGAGAGUAGAGCCAGAAGCCCUAAAAUGCCUUUUGCCAAGAAGAAAAUUUGCUGAUGGAGAUGGGGUGAACAGCUGAAACCUCAGAAGUGAAGCCUGUUUGUACCGCCUUUUGGAUUGCUUUGGGCCUGGUGAGAUGGAUCAUGGAACCAUCCGCUCUCUCAGAGCUCGCUCGGCCUGGACCCUUCGCGUGGGGGCUGCCUGUCUGUCCUCCCCUCGAGGCAGCGGGAGUCGCUGGAGCAAGUGAUCCGAGACAGCGACGGAUGCGUGACAAUCAAAGUUUCAAUGUUUGCUCCUGUCACUCACACAAGUAAACCAUUUAAUUGCCUCUUCCCCUUGUGGGGGCUUCCCUGGUGGCUCAGCUGGUAAAGAAUCCGCCUGCAAUGCGGGAGACCUGGGUUCGGUCCCUGGGUUGGGAAGAUCCCCUGGAGAAGGGAACGGCUACCCACUCCAGUAUUCUGGCCUGGAGAAUUCCAUGAGCUAUAUAGUCCAUGGGGUAGCAGAGAGUUGGACACAACUGAGCAACUUUCACUUUCACACUUUCCCCUUUUUUAAAUAGGUCUCUUGGCAAAUACUUCCCGGGGUCCAUGAGCUACAACAUGUUUUGUGUCUUGAGGUAAUUUGUUUCUUUCAAUAAACUGUUUUCCCCCAAUCACUUCCAACUAAACAUCCAAAACGACAGUCGUUUUAAGGAAUGAUUGUAUGUGAUAAGGCAAUAAAAACUCGAAGUAGUGAUGUGUUUUAGCAGGACCUUGUUAUGGCGUGACGUCACACACAACUGUCAGAGACAUAAUGACCAAGUGCAGUAAAUGUCUGGACUGUGCUGGUCUGUAAGUUGCGUACCAGCCCAGCCCCCACGCUUAGACAGAAUUUCAACAUCAGAAAAAUAGGGUCACUGCUUUCAUUUUAAAGCUAACAAAGAUUCAGUUAGAAAAAUCACUCAGCACGGCUUCCGUUGAUGAAAUGCUGGAAUAACGAUGGUAAUUCCAAGGAUCAUGUUGUGUUACUUUGGACAGGCCAAGGGGACUAGUGAAAACGCUGAAUAAAACAGCCCUGGACUUCUGCGACCCUGCAGUGGCUCCUCAGAAACCUUUUAAAAAACUAAAAAAAACACAAAAAAACUCAACUUAAAACAAAAAAAUGAAACCUAAAAUUGUUUUAUUGCACUCUCUAAAAAAUUCUUAAUUAAAUAAUUAAAAUAUAAAGUAAUUAUUGUAAUUUAGAACAACAUUACAUGAACUUUAUUACAAGGUGUUUUUUACCUGAUUCAGUAGAGUCCCAGGUACUUUUUUGCAGAGGAAAUUCUCUAAAAGAAAAUAAAUGAGCACAGUUUUUCCAGACAAAUAUCCUAGUUCUUUCUAAAUUCCAAAUGGAACUAAAACUACAUUAUGUAACAGAUGCUUGCCAAGACUGCGAUUGGUUUUUGAUCAAAGGCCUUAUUGAAACACACACUUUCCUAACAGCAUCCUUUUCCAAAACAUCUUAAAAUGAAAAGCAAGAACACAGCUCAUGAAGGGAGGGUCAGGCUCCGCAUAACAUGUUUGAUUUGUUUUCCUUGGUGCGUGUGUUUUUGGAACUUGUUAAAAAAAACAAGCAAAAAAAAGCACCAUAACAACAAUCCUUUGGAGUAAAGUUGAGUGAUGAAUAAAGUGUUCCAGCCAAGUUAUAAAUCUCAGCAAAGAGAGGUUUGAAUGGCAAGUGCUGGGCAGGACGGACCCUGAGUGCAGCGCCGCCCGAGAGCAGACGGGCCUUGAGGAGGCUCCAGGCCCGCCUGCCCCAGCCGGUCGCCCGCUGGACGGGAGGCUGCUGGGGCUGUCAGGAGAGUUUGCCCAGGAAACUCCAGGGCACGGGAAGAAGUUCACUGGACUUCUGAGAGGCCAAAUAUUAUUUUGGCACACGCAUUUCAUUAGCUGAUAGCGAGCUUUUGCUGUUCAACAGAACUAAGACACUUCCAGCUCAGCAUAUUAUGCUCCCAGUUUGGUUUUUGUUUGCAUUUCCCUUUUAGCUUCGCAUUCUGUACAGAAACACUUCCUAACCAUCAAAAUCAAACAGUCAUCAAAAAUCAUGGUUUACUGUUUAAAUUUAAUAUAAUUCACUUUUUAAAAAUAAAAAAGGCCGUCAUUGCGCUCACCUUGGAGCUGUGCGGAGACCAGCGUCUCCCUGCAGUCUGCGGUCUUCCCUCAGGACCUAGUUAGGCACGAUUCCUCAUUGACACUUCACUGGAUUUCAGGGAAUGAGUUACAGAGCAUGUUCUCCUGGGAAGGCAGAAAUAAAAAUAGCAUUAAGAAUGGACUAAUGUAACAGUUCUCAACAUCUUUUAUCCUCAAUUGCCCAUUUUUAAUUCCCUAUGUCAGUUGUCACUUAAAUAGUACCCAAUACAGAAGAAGCAUGUGUAAUUAGCCUACUAAAAAAAAAAGGCUUAAUAAUACAAGACGAAGACCACACGGGUAUAAAAGUCUUACUCUGCGCCACUCUGCUGUCAUUUGGGGGUCUUUCUCAGCCUGGGUGUACCCGUCGUGCUGUCCUGCCCCGGCAACCCUUGGUGGUGGGUGCGGAUUGGGAUGCGUGAGACGGUGCAGAGGCAGAAUCACCGCAUCCAGGGGCCCUGGGCUUCGAGUCCUUCCAGCUCUGCACUCACCUGCAGGGCGACUCACCUCUUUGGAACUCGGUUUCCCCAUUUUGAAGUAGGGUGUUGAAGAAGGCGUUAGGAAUGGCCUAUGCUAAAUUAAAUCACAUUUGGCACCUAAGUCUGCCUUCUAACACGGUCUCCAUAAUUCCAUAAAGAUUUACCCAGUCUAUAUAGGACAAUGGAAUACUACCCAGCCACAAAAAGAGUGAAAUAAUGCCAUUUGCAGCAACAUGGAUGCAACUAGAGGUUACCAUAUUAGGUAAACAAAUCAGAGAGAGAGAGAGAAAUAUAUGCUGUCACAUAUAUGUGGAAUUUAAAAUGAACCUAUUCUGUAAAACAGAUCCCUGGACAUAGAGAGCAGACUUGUGGGUGCCAAGGGGGAGGCAUUGGAAGACAGGUGGAAUGGGGGUUUGGGAUUAGCAGGCCCAGGUUAUUACAUGUAGAAUUAGAACAAGGUCCCGCUGUACAGCACAGGGAACUGUAUUCCAUAUCCUGUGAUAAAGCAUAAUGGAAAAGGAUAUUUUUAAAAAGAACAUAUACAUACACAUAACUGAGCCACUCAGCUGCCCAGCAGAAAUUAACACAACAUUGUGAAUCAGCCAUACUUCAAUGGUUCUCUUUUUCGCUUCAUCGUUCCCCCAGUUUUAUGAAAUACUACUGUGUCUUCAGUCUUUCAACCUAGUGAAGUAAUUUCAGAAAACACUGCUUGCUUUUAAAUGAUUUAUUCAUGGGCCGUGUUGUUAGUAGAAAAUGCUGGUACUAAAUCAAUGUAUCAUAAGACACUCCUGCUCAAGUUCAAAAUGUUAGAAUAACAGGACUUGUCUUCAGCAACCACUGCAAAUAUUUGCGGGUGUAAAUCAGGCAGGACUGGUUUUACUUUGGUUUAAAAUAUUGCUUCUCUGGUGGCUCAGCACUAAAGAAUCUACCUGCAAUGCGGGAGAUGCUGGUUUGAUACCUGGGUCCAAAAUAUC